GAGUUUGAUCAUGGCUCAGAACGAACGCUGGCGGCAUGCCUAACACAUGCAAGUCGAACGAGACCUUCGGGUCUAGUGGCGCACGGGUGCGUAACGCGUGGGAAUCUGCCCUUGGGUUCGGGAUAACAGUUGGAAACGACUGCUAAUACCGGAUGAUGUCUUCGGACCAAAGAUUUAUCGCCCAGGGAUGAGCCCGCGUAGGAUUAGCUUGUUGGUGAGGUAAGAGCUCACCAAGGCGACGAUCCUUAGCUGGUCUGAGAGGAUGAUCAGCCACACUGGGACUGAGACACGGCCCAGACUCCUACGGGAGGCAGCAGUGGGGAAUAUUGGACAAUGGGCGAAAGCCUGAUCCAGCAAUGCCGCGUGAGUGAUGAAGGCCUUAGGGUUGUAAAGCUCUUUUACCCGGGAAGAUAAUGACUGUACCGGGAGAAUAA
rnacentral:rRNA from 1 species